rnacentral:tRNA from 2 species
GGGGGGGUAUGGCGGAAUUGGUAGACGCUACGGACUUAAAAUCCGUUGGCUUUAUUGACCGUGAGGGUUCAAGUCCCUCUACCCCCA